rnacentral:rRNA from 1 species
GGCGGACGGGUGAGUAACGCGUAGGAAUCUACCUAGUAGAAGGGGAUAGCCCGGGGAAACCCGGAUUAAUACCGUAUACCUCCUUCGGGAGAAAGAAGGCCUCUCUUUGAAGCUUUCGCUAUUAGAUGAGCCUGCGUAAGAUUAGCUUGUUGGUGAGGUAAAGGCUCACCAAGGCGACGAUCUUUAGCUGGUCUGGGAGGACGAUCAGCCACAUUGGGACUGAGACACGGCCCAGACUCCUACGGGAGGCAGCAGUGGGGAAUACUGGACAAUGGGCGCAAGCCUGAUCCAGCCAUACCGCGUGUGUGAAGAAGGCCUUCGGGUUGUAAAGCACUUUAAGCAGGGAGAAAAAGUUAUAAGUUAAUACCUUAUAACCGUGAUGUUACCUGCAGAAUAAGCACCGGCUAAUUCCGUGCCAGCAGCCGCGGUAAUACGGAAGGUGCAAGCGUUAAUCGGAAUUACUGGGCGUAAAGCGCGCGUAGGUGGUUUGUUAAGUUGGAUGUGAAAGCCCUGGGCUCAACCUAGGAACUGCAUCCAAAACUAACUCACUAGAGUACGAUAGAGGGAGGUAGAAUUCAUAGUGUAGCGGUGGAAUGCGUAGAUAUUAUGAAGAAUACCAGUGGCGAAGGCGGCCUCCUGGAUCUGUACUGACACUGAGGUGCGAAAGCGUGGGUAGCGAACAGGAUUAGAUACCCUGGUAGUCCACGCCGUAAACGAUGACAACUAGCUGUUGGAAGACAACGUCUUUCAGUGGCGCAGCUAACGUUUUGAGUUGUC